rnacentral:rRNA from 1 species
CAGUAGCCGCGGUAAUACAGAGGAUGCAAGCGUUAUCCGGAAUGAUUGGGCGUAAAGCGUGCGCAGGCGGUUAUAUAAGUCAGAUGUGAAAUCCCCGGGCUCAACCUGGGAACUGCAUUUGAGACUGUAUGGCUAGAGUGUGUCAGAGGGGGGUAGAAUUCCACGUGUAGCAGUGAAAUGCGUAGAUAUGCGGAGGAACACCGAUGGCGAAGGCAAUCCCCUGGGCCUGCACUGACGCUCAUGCACGAAAGCGUGGGGAGCAAACAGGAUUAGAUACCCCAGUAGUCCCUGUCUCUUAUAA